rnacentral:piRNA from 1 species
UAGUGACAUCAAGAUGACGUAUAUCUA